AACGUAGGACGCGAACGUUAUCCGGAGUUACUGGGCGUAAAGAGCGCGCGGGCGGUAUGUUAAGUUACCUAUGAAAGUUACAGGCUAAACUUGUAAUAGUUAGGUAAGACUGGCGUACUAGAGAGGAAUAGAGGGGAGCGGAAUUCCGGGUGUAGUGGUGAAAUGCGUAGAUAUCCGGAGGAAUACCGGUGGCGAAGGCGGCUUCCUGGAUUUUUUCUGACGCUGAGGCGCGAAAGCGUGGGUAGCGAACGGG
rnacentral:rRNA from 1 species